GACGGCCACUAAGCCCUGUGCUCGGCUUAGUUUCUAUAUUGCCACAGUUCCUCCUUUUAACUUUUUUUUUUAGCAUUAACUUCCCUCAAAUAAUCCAGAUGGCCGUAACAAUUCCUCUUCUCAACUGCACUCGGUACGAGCAAUUCACAUUUUCUCACAUCCAUUGUUUUUCUCACAAUGACUGAAUAUGAUGUCAGUGGGUCUUCAUCCACAUCGUCCAGCAUCAUAAUAUUCCCAUUUGCUGAUCACCUAUUGUCCUCCUUAAACAGUAAGAUCUGUACUGAUUUAGAUUCCUGCAUACGGCACAGGGUACACGAAAUAAUUUUUUGAUGACGUUGAAGAGAUGUUCAGUAUGGAUGCAUAUACCACAGGAAAUGGUUUGGACCCACCCAUUGGGUGAUACCAACUCUCCCAAAGAAAUGGCAGUGAUGCGUGGAUAUACGAUCUCCAAACAACAGUACCAUCCGACGUUUAUUUCUAAUUUGAAGAGGACCUCUUACCCUACUGAUCGAGCACUUGAAAAGUUCUGAAAGGCCAUUUAAAAGAUUGCUGCACAUCCUUCCCCCUUCUGAUCCCGAGGCUCGAUCUGAAGUGACACGCCAGCACCCGACAGAGACACCAGGAAGCGGUCCCAAGGGUCACCGUGAUGACAAAUGACCUCUACCAGCAUCAGCUGAGUGCCACCCCCCUGCCCCUGGUGAUGGAGAUGUGCAGCAGAAGCAGAGAGCGUCAACCUAACGGGUAAGAAAUAGGCUUCGGCACUGAUUCGUAACACCGCGCUGGCUGCCUAAGAGCCGCCUGGAAAAUUUAUUAAAGACUCCACAGUUCCACGUC